AAGCAGCCUUUUGAAAAGGGAUGCAAAAGCAGGCCCCUGAUCAGUUUCACUUCCUCUGGGCGCCCAGCGGAGCGGAGUCCCGGCCUUGCGGGCAUGAGCCCUGGGGCUGCGUUUCCUGAGACCUGGCCGCAGCCACCCCGGGUGGCAAGCAGGCUGGGGACAGCCGAUCGCCAGAGGAAGAGAGAAUCGCGGGGAGCCUCUGACCGGGAGAGUCCUCGGCUUCAGCCGCCACAAUGCUGCCUGCCGCACCAGGCAAGCGGCUUGAGAGCCCGGACCAGGCCCCCUGCGGCCCAGCGCCCCCAGGAAGUGCAAAAGACAUCAUAAUGAUAUAUGAAGAAGAUGCUGAGGAAUGGGCUCUGUAUUUGAUGGAAGUAUUUUUACAUGUUGUGAAAAGGGAAGCGAUCCUGUUAUAUCACUUGGAGAAUUUUUCUUUUCGGCAUUUGGAGUUGCUGAACUUAACCUCUUACAAAUGUAAACUUUUGAUAUUAUCAAACAGCCUGCUUAAAGAUCUAACUCCAAAGAAAUGUCAAUUUCUAGAAAAGGUACUUCAUUCAGCAGAAAGUGUAGUUACUUUGCUUUGUGGAGUGAAGAGUUCAGCUCAGCUCUAUGAAUUAUUAAACAUCUCUCAAAGCAGAUGGGAGAUCUCAACUGAGCAGGAACCUGAAGACUACAUCUCUGUAAUCCAGAGUAUCAUAUUCAAAGAUUCUGAAGAAGACUACCUUGAAGUCAGCAUUCCAACAGACCUACAAGUAAAACAUUCUGGGGAAAUAAGCGAGAGAAAGGAAAUUGAAGAACUGUCAGAAGCUUCAAGAAACACCAUGCCACUAGCAGUGGUGCUUCCCGCUGAAAUUCCAUGUGAGAAUCCUGGUGAAAUAUUCAUAAUUUUGAGAGAUGAAGUAAUUGGUGAUACUGUGGAGGUUGAAUUUACAUCAAAUAAUAAGCACAUUAGAACACGGCCGGCACUUUGGGAUAAGAAAGUCUGGUGCAUGAAAGCUUUAGAGUUUCCUGCUGGUUCAGUUAAUGUUGAUGUCUACUGUGAUGGAAUCAUUAAAGCCACAACCAAAAUUAAAUACUACCCAACAGCAAAGGCAAAGGAAUGCCUGUUCACAAUGGAAGAUUCAGGAGAGAGUUUGUACCAGAAUGAUAUUGAAGCACUUGAUGAUGUCCUUACAUCCAUAUUCAAACAUGAGAUACCAUAUUAUGAGUUCCAAUCUCUUCAAACUGAAAUUCACUCUCAAAAAAAAGAUAAUCAUUUCAAAGAACUUCCAACUCUUCUCCACUGUGCAGCAAAAUUUGGCUUAAAGAACCUAGCUAUUCAUUUGCUUCAAUGUUCAGGAGCAACCUGGGCUUCUAAGAUGAAAAAUGUGGAGGGUUCAGACCCCGCACAUAUUGCUGAAAGGCAUGGUCACAAGGAACUCAAGGAAAUCUUUGAAGACUUUUCAGCAUUAAACAGAGCAGCAUGGCAUCUAUCUCAGAUCCAAGAAACUGACAGAAAUAAUGAGCAAGAAAAUGAUUAUGAAGAGGAUAUUGCCUCAUUUUCCACAUAUAUUCCUUCCACCCAGAACCCAGGAUUUCAUCACGACAGCAGGAACACAUGCAGGCAAAGUGCAGAUGGAGCUGAGGCAAAUAAAAUGGAAGGGGAAGGAAAAGAGAAUGGGUCAGGCACGGAGGCCAAGCACAGCCCAGCAGAGGUUGGCAGUGAGAGUUCCGAGGACCAGUAUGAUGACUUGUAUGUGUUCAUUCCUGGUUCUGACCCAGAAAAUAAUUCACAAGAGCCACUCAUGAGCAGCAGACCUCCUCUCCCUCCACCGCGACCUGUAGCUACUGCCUCCCAACUGGAAAGACCUCACUUCACCUUACCAGGGACAAUGGUGGAAGGCCAAAUGGAAAGAAGUCAGAACUGGGGUGAUCCUGGUGUUAGACAAGAAACAGGAGAUGAACUCAAAGGGCAAAAAGAGAAGAAAGAAGAUGAAAAGGAUCAGGAGGAGGAGGAAGACCCAUACACUUUUGCUGAGAUUGAUGACAGUGAAUAUGACAUGAUUUUGGCCAGUUUGAGUAUAAAGAAAAAAACUGGGAGUCGGUCUUUCAUUAUAAACAGACCUCCUGCCCCCACACCCCGACCUACAAAUAUACCUCCGAAAGAGGAAACCACACCUUACAUAGCUCAAGUGUUUCAACAAAAGACAGCCAGAAGACAAUCUGAUGAUGACAAGUUCCGUGGUCUUCCUAAGAAACAAGACAGGUCUCGGAUAGAGAGUCCAGCCUAUCCUACUCUCAGGGGCUGCCUUACUGCUGGUCAGGAAGAACUCAUCCUCCUGCAAGAGAAAGUCAAAAAUGGGAAAAUGUCUGUGGAUGAAGCUCUGGAGAAAUUUAAACACUGGCAGAUGGGAAAAAGUGGCCUGGAAAUGAUUCAGCAGGAGAAAUUACGACAACUACGAGAUAGCAUUAUUGGAAAAAGGCCAGAAGAAGAAAAUGUCUAUAAUAAACUCACCAUUGUGCAUCAUCCAAGUGGUAAGGAAACUGCCCACAAUGAAAAUAUGUUUUAUAACAUACCCUUCAGCAAUAAGGUAGGUUGUAUUUAUUUUGAUUUUUAUAAAAUGCAAAAAAAUAACUUGGUUAAAAAAGAACAUGAAAACCUUCUAUUCUGUCUGUGCUUUUAAACAUUCUAACAAAUAUUAACAAAAUAGGUUAGGUGCACCUUUAUAUACAAAAUCUAUGAACAGUAAUUUAAGGAAAUUAACUAUUCAGAAAAAAACAAAGAGGGAACUCAAAGGAAAAAGCCGCUGAGACCAAAGUGUGGUUAUAUUCAACAUGCACAGACCAAAGAAAAAAUUAGAGGAAUUAUCAAUACAUGAGUUUCAACAAUAGAAAUAUGAUGAGUCUACUGCAUUUGAAUCACAAUGUAUACAGUCCUUAAAUUCUGGGAUGUUAGUAGGGGAAAUAUAACUCCAAAAUAUUAUCAAUGUAAAUAUGCAUUACUUCACAUCAUAUAGUUAACUAAAACUAAAUUGCUAAUGAGAAGCUAUUAAUAACACUAAGCAAAGACAGCAGCAAUGGAAAACUAAGACCAAUGCAAGAAAACAUUGAUAAUGUCCUGACUACAAUUUUUUUCAUAAAAAUGUUAUUCCAGCUAUCUGCAUAUAUGAUGAAACACACUUGCCCUGCUAGUAAUGGUCCUGUAGCAACUGGGUUUCUUGCUAAAAUCCUGAAUCAGAGUCUUUGCUAAGUUCUUAUAAUGAACAAAUUUUAAUUUUCCAAAGUCUAAUAACCCUUUAAGCUCUUUGUAUAUUUCAAAUAAGUCAUAAGUGAUCAUAAAAAUCAUUCACCCUUAAAAACUAAUUGAAGUAUUUGCAUUUUUAUUCUUCUGUAGCCUACCAUCAACCUGUGUGUAUGUGUAUAUAUGUGUGUUUGUGUGUGUGCAUAUAGAGAGAGAGAGAAAAAAAAAGAGAGAGAGACUCAUUAGACUCAUUCAAAUGUAGCAAAAUUGUGGGGUGCACUAUGGCUUUAGGGCUUAUGAAAAUAUCAACCAAGAUUAUUCUACAAGAGCUGCACAAACAUGGCAGUUUUGGAAAGGAGAUUUUGAAUAAGAGGAAAAGAAUACAAAUACCCAAUGCUUUGUAAACUGGUCUCUCUCAAAAUGGAAAUAAAAUUUGAAUUCAAGAACUUGGAUGCAGUUGAACUUUACAAUGAUUCUGUUUCCUUUUAAAAUGGAAGACUGUCUUUCCAAUUGUCUCUGCAAAGCUGUUUUUCCAUGGCUGCGAAAGGCAACUAUAACUUUGUCAUAUUUCUUUGUUCAACCUUAAAAUAGAAACAAAGAGAAAUGCUAGCUCUGUAUCUUUUUUUUUUUUUUUCCAGCUUCCUGCUCGACCUCAAGUUGAAAAGGAAUUUAGUUUCUGUUGCAGGAAAGAUCAUUAAAGAAGGUUAUUAUAAUGAAACUCAAGAAUCUACAGACAUUUUGCUUUCAGUGUGAAGUAAGCUUGCAUUUGGAUCGCCUGCUCUCUUUAGAGCAAAUCUAUACUAUGAAAGCAGAAACAAGCCUUCAGAUUUCAGAAUUUGUUAUUGGCCGAAUUUAUUGUCAUUAUACCUGCUUAAUAUGGUUAAAUUAAUAUUAAAACAGAAUACCAUGAAGUAAUUGCAUUAUUUGAAAAUUCUUGCAUUUUACAAUGCACUUUACCUCUGAAGCAGCUAAAUCCCAUUUUAAAAAUUAAAGGAAAACAAGCAGAGAGAAAUUAAAUGCUGUGUAACAAAGUUAUGGGGUCUGCUUGGGCGCACUAACCUCAACAGAUUAUUCCUCCGCUCCUAAGAAUAACCAUGAAAAUACAAAUUUACUGGUCACCUAUUUGCUUUUUACAUAGCUGGUCCAUUUUCCGAAUUUCUCACAUUCAGAGUUGUAGUUACUAUUGCUACAUCAUGUUUGCAAAAACUUUGUCUUAUUUAGUACCUAUUUGCAUAUAAUCCUGAGAGCAUUAUUUGAAAACUUUUCUAUAUCUCAAAUUAAUUUACAUUUUUAUAACCUACCUUUUUAUUAAAAGACUUGCAAUUUUAUCAACCUAUUUCUUAGAAACAAUUUACUAGCUUAGAAUAGAAUGCAAUUUUAUCAUACUAUAAUUUUCAUGUACAAAUGCGACAAAUAAAUUGAAUGUUUAAAACUGUGUCUCAGUUUUUAAAGUAAAUUUAUGAUAAUUAGCCAAUAAGAUUGGUUUCUUGGACUAUUGGCCAA